AAGUGUUUUCUUUGUGUGCAGAGACCUCCAGCUGGACGAGUAUGUGGAUCUGUACUGGAGAGACUACCCGUCAUUGAUCCGUGGCUUCACUGAGAGCUGCGUCAUAGACCAGACUCUGAUUGGUCAGAUGCAGCGUCCGUCCUUCCUGAGGGCGGAGCCUCCCUGUGUGCUCAGCUGGCUCAGCGGCUGCCUGAGAGGAGAGGAGAGCCCGCCUUUCCCCUGCCUGCCCGGCAUCUGUACGAGGACCAGGCUGCUGGUUCUGAGUUUUGCUCUCUACAUCGUCGGAGAUGAAAACGCAACUUCAACAUCAGUAUCAAAGUACCUGGUGAAGCUCUCUGCAGGUGUGUGUGUGUGUGUGUGUGUGUGUGUGUGUGUGUGUGUGUGUGUGUGUGUGUGUGUGUGU